GUAUGAGGUAACUCAAAUGAAAGAGUGAAAAAAUAUAUCAUAAAUGAGUCUGAAUCGGGUUGCCUAUUUUAACAAGAUGUAAAGAAGGGCAAGUGCCAACAAAAUGAAUAAGAGCGCCACAUGCGGGCCGCAGGUUGGACCACGCUGCUCUAGUCAUACAGAUUAUAUUAAAGUUUCUUUUUAUUUUCCGUCAAAGAAAAAAUGCUAAGCAGCUUUUGCUUGUCUUACAUUUAAUUUUCCUUAGAGUAGAGCAAGAGGAAGUUUUGUUACCUGUUUGUCAAAUAAAAUUUGUUCAUUAGUGAACUUUGUUAAAGUUGG